GUGUCCUAAAUGGUUUACACUGCGCACAGCUUCCUCUCAGCCCGCUCUGAGCUGGAAGCAGCAUGUGGGUCCUGGCCCUGAUCUUCCUCGCAGCAGCCUGCAUGUUCUCACUAGGAGUCACUCUGUGGGUCAUUUGCAGCCAUUUUUUCAUUGUGCACAUCCCUGCAGCGGUUGGCCACCCUGUGAAACUGAGAGUCCUCCAUUGCAUCUUCCAGCUGCUGUUGACAUGGAAACCCACCAUGGCAUAUGCUCUCGUUUGUGCAAGGAGAGUGACUCCGUGGUUCUGGCAGUUGGUUACCGCAAGUUACCUAAGCAUAAGUUUCCAGUGCCAGUAAGAGACUGCUUGGUGGCCACCAUCCACUUCCUGAAGUCCCUGGAUGCAUAUGGAGUGGAUCCAGCCCGGGUUGUGGUCUGCGGUGACAGUAUCGGAGGGGCAAUAGCCGCAGUGGUUUGUCAAAAACUUGUGGACAGGCCAGACCUGCCCCGGAUCCGGGCUCAGAUCCUGAUCUAUGCCAUUCUCCAAGCCCUGGAUUUACAAACCCCUUCAUUUCAACAGAGGAAAAACGUCCCACUGCUCACCUGGAGUUUCCUCUGCUACUGUAUUUUUCAAAACCUGGAUUUCAGCUUCUCCUGGCAAGAGGUCAUCAUGAAAGGUGCCCAUUUGCCUGCCGAAGUCUGGGAAAAGUACAGAAAGUGGUUGGGCCCAGAAAACAUCCCUGAGAGGUUUAAGAAGAGGGGUUACCGACCGAAGCCCCAUGAGCCCAUGAAUGAAGCUGCUUACUUGGAAGUAAGUGUUGUCCUGGAUGUGAUGUGCUCGCCCCUGAUUGCAGAAGAUGAUGUAGUGUCUCAGCUCCCAGAAACCUGCAUCGUGAGCUGUGAGUAUGAUGCUCUCCGGGACAAUUCACUGUUGUACAAGAAGAGGCUGGAAGACCUGGGAGUGCCCGUGACCUGGCACCAUAUGGAGGAUGGUUUCCACGGAGUGCUCAGCACCAUUGACAUGAGCUUCCUGCACUUUCCCUGCUCCACGAGAAUUCUGAGUGCAUUAGUUCAUUUUAUAAAGGGACUGUGACUGUCUUUCUUCUCUGCUGGUACUGCGGUGUGGAUUCCACUGGCAUCCAGCCUCCCCUAGGGCUCUCUGUUGCUGAUUUAGGUGGUGCAUACUGGGGCCAGGGAGGGGGUAGAGGUUGCUGUCACCUUUCUGGUCCAGGUUCUAGAACCAGACAAUGCAUGCCCUUGAUGUCCAGAGGACAUGGUAGAAAAGACAGGUUUGGAGGUGGGAGUGGGGCUGUCUGUCUCUAUUUUCUGUUGGGAAACCCUGGGCUGACAGUCUUCAGUGGCCACUUGUGGGAGUGAAUCAGCAGGUAAGAGCUGUUCUCAGCCUCCCUAAGGGGCAGUUCAGGCUCUCAGAUUGAUCCAGACUGUGUGUGACUUGUGUCCAUUUGACUGGACUUUGGAAUAGCACAAGGGCAUCCAUACAGCCUCACGAGGCUUUCCCAAUGUGGCUCAGAGGCAGGAGCUCUGAUGUUCUAGGCUGCUGUGAGGUGGUGGUGGUGGUGGAGAAACUGGCUUCACCCACCUUCUCUUCUGUGAACAGUAGUGACUUUUCCUGCUGUUUCUCAGCCUCUGGGAUCAGAGUCUUCACUGCCUGGGCUGGAAACUUUAAGAUAGAAUGGUGGGGGCGGCUGUGGCAAUUUCUUAAAAUAAAAUAAGACAACAGUGG
rnacentral:sRNA from 1 species